rnacentral:rRNA from 1 species
UACGGAGGGUGCAAACGUUGCUCGGAAUCAUUGGGCGUAAAGCGCACGUAGGCGGCCCGCUAAGUCGGAUGUGAAAGCCCUGGGCUUAACCCAGGAAGUGCAUUCGAAACUGGCGGGCUUGAAUAUGGAAGAGGGUUGCGGAAUUCCCGGUGUAGAGGUGAAAUUCGUAGAUAUCGGGAGGAACACCAGUGGCGAAGGCGGCAACCUGGGCCAAUAUUGACGCUGAGGUGCGAAGGCGUGGGGAGCAAACAGG